GUGGGGAAUAUUGGACAAUGGGCGCAAGCCUGAUCCAGCCAUGCCGCGUGAGUGAUGAAGGCCUUAGGGUUGUAAAGCUCUUUCAGUGGGGAAGAUAAUGACGGUACCCACAGAAGAAGCCCCGGCUAACUUCGUGCCAGCAGCCGCGGUAAUACGAAGGGGGCUAGCGUUGUUCGGAUUUACUGGGCGUAAAGCGCACGUAGGCGGAUCGUUAAGUCGGGGGUGAAAUCCCGGGGCUCAACCCCGGAACUGCCUUCGAUACUGGCGAUCUUGAGUCCGGAAGAGGUGAGUGGAACUCCUAGUGUAGAGGUGGAAUUCGUAGAUAUUAGGAAGAACACCAGUGGCGAAGGCGGCUCACUGGUCCGGUACUGACGCUGAGGUGCGAAAGCGUGGGGAGCAAACAGGAUUAGAAACCCCGGUAGUCC
rnacentral:rRNA from 1 species